rnacentral:rRNA from 1 species
AUACGUAGGGUGCGAGCGUUGUCCGGAAUUACUGGGCGUAAAGAGUUCGUAGGUGGUUUGUCGCGUCGUCUGUGAAAUUCCGGGGCUUAACUCGGGGCGUGCAGGCGAUACGGGCAUAACUUGGGUACUGUAGGGGAGACUGGAAUUCCUGGGGUAGCGGUGAAAUGCGCAGAUAUCAGGAGGAACACCGGGGGCGAAGGCGGGUCUCUGGGCAGUAAAUGACGCUGAGGAGCGAAAGCAGGGGUAGCGAACAGGAUUAGAUCCCCUGGUGGUCCAUGCCGUAAACGGUGGGCGCUAGGUGUAGGGGUCUUCCACGACUUCUGUGCCGUAGCUAACGCAUUAAGCGCCCCGCCUGGGGAGUACGGUCGCAAGGCUAAAACUCAAAUGAAUUGACGGGG